rnacentral:rRNA from 1 species
AUUGAACGCUGGCGGCAUGCCUUACACAUGCAAGUCGAACGGCAGCGGGCCUUCGGGUGCCGGCGAGUGGCGAACGGGUGAGUAAUGCAUCGGAACGUGCCAUUGAGUGGGGGAUAACGUAGCGAAAGUUACGCUAAUACCGCAUAUUCUGUGAGCAGGAAAGCAGGGGACCGCAAGGCCUUGCGCUCUUUGAGCGGCCGAUGCCAGAUUAGCUAGUUGGUGAGGUAAAGGCUUACCAAGGCGACGAUCUGUAGCGGGUCUGAGAGGAUGAUCCGCCACACUGGAACUGAGACACGGUCCAGACUCCUACGGGAGGCAGCAGUGGGGAAUUUUGGACAAUGGGCGCAAGCCUGAUCCAGCCAUGCCGCGUGAGUGAAGAAGGCCUCGGUGUAAG